UAUGAAAAUAAGAUUUUCUUUGAAAACACAUUUUUGGCACAGAUUAAAAAAAAUGUAUGUCAGGGAAAUUUGAUUUAAGUCAGUAUUAUAUAUAUUUAUAUAUAUUAUAUAUUUAUAUAUACACACCCCAAGUUCUGCACAUCCGACCAAGAAAGAAAAUCCUUCUGUUCGCUUUUACUCAACUGUAAACUGUACAUCCGGUGAGUUGAAGGUGGCGGCGGCGGCGGCGGCAGGAGAAUUAAGAAAGAUGACUGUCUGAUGAGCAGGGUAAGGGAGGAGGAGGGGAUGGGGCAAAAACCCAAUGAAAUGUUCCUGACCCCAAGGUUUCAGCACAAGUCCCAAGUCCUGCAUGAGUCCACGGCGUGCUCAAGUACACGGCCAGAGCAUCGCAGCCCGUGUUGACUUGCGAGUCACUAACUUAGUGCAAAGGCUGAUCCAUUCUGUUUAACAAAACAGAAGAAUCCCACAGCCCGGUUCCUUUUCUCCAGGUGAGGAGAGAAACCCAGCCCCUAAGGUUUUCUCUGGAGGUUUUCUCUCUACCUCAACUGGGA
rnacentral:lncRNA from 1 species